rnacentral:rRNA from 1 species
AGUGAACGCUGGCGGUAGGCCUAACACAUGCAAGUCGAACGGCAGCACAGUAAGAGCUUGCUCUUACGGGUGGCGAGUGGCGGACGGGUGAGGAAUACAUCGGAAUCUACUUUUUCGUGGGGGAUAACGUGGGGAAACUUACGCUAAUACCGCAUACGACCUACGGGUGAAAGCAGGGGAUCUUCGGACCUUGCGCGAUUGAAUGAGCCGAUGUCGGAUUAGCUAGUUGGCGGGGUAAAGGCCCACCAAGGCGACGAUCCGUAGCUGGUCUGAGAGGAUGAUCAGCCACACUGGAACUGAGACACGGUCCAGACUCCUACGGGAGGCAGCAGUGGGGAAUAUUGGACAAUGGGCGCAAGCCUGAUCCAGCCAUACCGCGUGGGUGAAGAAGGCCUCCGGGUUGUAAAGCCCUUUUGUUGGGAAAGAAAAGCAGCAGGUUAAUACCCCGCUGUUCUGACGGUACCCAAAGAAUAAGCACCGGCUAACUUCGUG